UACCUCAUUGACCGGGAGGAAUCCCUUCCGGCCGAUGAGGUAUAAGAACCUCAUUGGCCGGAAGGAAUCCAUUCUGGCCGAUGAGGUU
rnacentral:miRNA from 1 species